UGGGGAAUUUUGCACAAUGGGGGAAACCCUGAUGCAGCGACGCCGCGUGAUUUAGAAGGCCUUCGGGUUGUAAAAAUCUUUUUUAUGGGAUGAAAAUGACAGUACCAUAAGAAUAAGGACCGGCUAAUUACGUGCCAGCAGCCGCGGUAAUACGUAAGGUCCGAGCGUUGUCCGGAAUCAUUGGGCGUAAAGGGUACGUAGGCGGGUAAGCAAGUUAGAAGUGAAAUCCUGUAGCUCAACUACAGUAAGCUUUUAAAACUGCUCAUCUUGAGAUAUGGAAGGGAAAGUGGAAUUCCUAGUGUAGCGGUGAAAUGCGCAGAUAUUAGGAGGAAUACCGGUGGCGAAGGCGACUUUCUGGCCAUAAUCUGACGCUGAGGUACGAAAGCGUGGGUAGCAAACAGG
rnacentral:rRNA from 1 species